rnacentral:rRNA from 1 species
UGAUAAUAAAAGUUUACAUGGAUAACCGUAGUAAUUCUAGAGCUAAUACAUGAGCAAAAUCUCAACUGUUUCAGAAGAGAUGCAUUUAUUAGAUAAAAAGCCAAUGCAUGCUAUUUUAGUAUGGAUAUUGGUGAUUUACAAUAACUUAGCAAAUCGCACAAUGAAAAUUGGCGAUAAAUCAUUCAAGUUUCUGACCUAUCAGCUUUCGACGGUAGGGUAUUGGCUUACCGUGGCAGUGACGGUUAACGGGGGAUUAGGGUUCGAUUCCGGAGAGGGAGCCUGAGAAACGGCUACCACAUCUAAGGAAGGCAGCAGGCGCGCAAAUUACCCAAUCCUAACAGCAUAAGGGAGGUAGUGACAAGAAAUAACAAUACAAGGCAAUUAAAAUGCUUUGUAAUUGGAAUGAUAGAAAUUUAAACACUUUCUAAAGUAUCAAUUGGAGGGCAAGUCUGGUGCCAGCAGCCGCGGUAAUUCCAGCUCCAAUAGCGUAUAUUAAAGUUGUUGCAGUUAAAAAGCUCGUAGUUGGAUUUCUGCUAAGAAUAACUGGUCUGCUUUAAUUUAAAGUGGUACCUUAGUGUGUUUUUAGCAUUAAUGUCCUAUGAAAUGUUUUUUACUUUAUUGUUUAAAGCAAUUUUCAGGAUUUUUACUUUGAGAAAAUUAGAGUGUUUCAAGCAGGCUAACGUUUUGAAUACUGCAGCAUGGAAUAAUAAAAUAGGAUUUUGGUUCUACAUUAUUGGUUUUAAGAACUAAAUUAAUGAUUAAUAGGGACGGUUGGGGGCAUUUGUAUUUGACUGUCAGAGGUGAA